rnacentral:misc_RNA from 1 species
CUCUGCCUCAUUUCGGACUUUUGCAUCCAAUGACUGGGCAGACAACAAAAUUGCAGUGAUCUCCAAAGCCAUUUCUUUCAACACUCUAGCAAUAGGAACCUGAUAAAACCCCACUGAAGAUAAACCUAGGGUUUCUCUCUCUCUCUUUAUCUCCUCUCCCGCGCCCUCUCACUGUACUAUUGUCGAACGAAACGAAGCGAAGAUGAAGAGAGAGAUUGGUGACUGUC